rnacentral:rRNA from 1 species
GACGAACGCUGGCGGCGUGCUUAACACAUGCAAGUCGAACGGAAAGGCCCUGCUUUUGUGGGGUGCUCGAGUGGCGAACGGGUGAGUAACACGUGAGUAACCUGCCCUUGACUUUGGGAUAACUGCAGGAAACUGGUGCUAAUACCGGAUAGGAGCUCCUGCUGCAUGGUGGGGGUUGGAAAGUUUCGGCGGUUGGGGAUGGACUCGCGGCUUAUCAGCUUGUUGGUGGGGGAGUGGCUUACCAAGGCUUUGACGGGUAGCCGGCCUGAGAGGGUGACCGGCCACAUUGGGACUGCGAUACGGACCAGACUCCUACGGGAGGCAGCAGUGGGGAAUAUUGCACAAUGGGCGGAAGCCUGAUGAAGCAACGCCGCGUGCGGGAUGACGGCCUUCGGGUUGUAAACCGCUUUCGCCUGUGACGAAGCGUGAGUGACGGUAAUGGGUAAAGAAGCACCGGCUAACUACGUG